GAUGAACGCUGGCGGCGUGCCUAAUACAUGCAAGUCGAGCGAACAGAUGAGGAGCUUGCUCCUCUGACGUUAGCGGCGGACGGGUGAGUAACACGUGGAUAACCUACCUAUAAGACUGGGAUAACUUCGGGAAACCGGAGAUAAUACCGGAUAAUAUAUUGAACCGCAUGGUUCAAUAGUGAAAGACGGUUUUGCUGUCACUUAUAGAUGGAUCCGCGCCGCAUUAGCUAGUUGGUAAGGUAACGGCUUACCAAGGCAACGAUGCGUAGCCGACCUGAGAGGGUGAUCGGCCACACUGGAACUGAGACACGGUCCAGACUCCUACGGGAGGCAGCAGUAGGGAAUCUUCCGCAAUGGGCGAAAGCCUGACGGAGCAACGCCGCGUGAGUGAUGAAGGUCUUCGGAUCGUAAAACUCUGUUAUUAGGGAAGAACAAAUGUGUAAGUAACUAUGCACGUCUUGACGGUACCUAAUCAGAAAGCCACGGCUAACUACGUG
rnacentral:rRNA from 1 species